rnacentral:tRNA from 1 species
UGCGCCAUUAGCUCAGAUGGUAGAGCAACUGACUCUUAAUCAGUGGGUCCUGGGUUCGAGUCCCCGAUGGCGCACCAU